UAACAUGCCCCUGGGACCGGAUGAUGCCAGACCUGACUCACCAGCAACAUCAUUUAGACCCACUGAUAGCCUCAUAGGACUUAGCACCAGUAAAAUAUCUUGAAAAGCUUCACCGAAGUGAGUCACAAAGCACAUUGGAUGCAGCACAACAAAUGAAAAUAUUUGGAAUAUUUGGAGAGGAGAAUGAAAAACAGAUAACAGUAAAAAUGAAGGCAG